rnacentral:rRNA from 1 species
GUGGGGAAUCUUGCGCAAUGGGCGAAAGCCUGACGCAGCCAUGCCGCGUGAAUGAUGAAGGUCUUAGGAUUGUAAAAUUCUUUCACCGGGGACGAUAAUGACGGUACCCGGAGAAGAAGCUCCGGCUAACUUCGUGCCAGCAGCCGCGGUAAUACGAAGGGGGCUAGCGUUGCUCGGAAUUACUGGGCGUACAGGGCGCGUAGGCGGACAGCUUAGUCAGAGGUGAAAGCCCAGGGCUCAACCUUGGAAUUGCCUUUGAUACUGGCUGUCUUGAGUUUGGGAGAGGUGAGUGGAACUCCGAGUGUAGAGGUGAAAUUCGUAGAUAUUCGGAAGAACACCAGUGGCGAAGGCGACUCACUGGCCCAAUACUGACGCUGAGGCGCGAAAGCGUGGGGAGCAAACAGGAUUAGAAACCCCAGUAGUCC